CUUCUGAAGACUUGUCAUUGCUACAGCAACACCGAGAUGCAUUGGCACUCUUCAGUCCAGAGGAUGGGCCAUCAACUCAAAAAGUACAAGGCUUGGGACCAGCUGCAAAGUUCCUACGGAUCACUUGGCCAGGAAAGUUUUUGAGCUUCUCAGAACAUUUAGGAUGUCAUGUGAGGUUUUCUGUGCUUUCAUGAAACAGGUUCUCACUAUGUUGCCCAAGCUGGUCCUGAACCCCUAGCCUCAAGUAAUCCUCCUGCCUCAACCUACCAAAGUAUUGUGAUUACAUGUUUGACCCACCAUGAUCAGUCCAGGGUAGGAAAUGGAAUCUUAACAACUAUCACAUGAGCUUUGAGGGGAUCCUUCUCUGGAUGAGCCUUCAGUUGAGACCUCAGCCUUGGACAUCAUCUACAUCUGGAUUCCUGACCCAGAGCAACUGAAUUUUAUGGAACCUUGUAUUCUGUUGAAUACCAGAAUUAUAUCAGCAAUCCCCAAGCCCCAAAGUCAAAGUCACCAAAUGGGCAUCAUCAUGACAGCAGACCGUGAUCAUGGGCUACAUUCUCCAUACCAACUUCAUAGCUCCAGUGAGAAGAUAAAUUCCUGCAUCCAGCAGACGUGGAGUAAGAGAUACAGCUGACCUUGACCAUAUUUCUUACUUUUGAGAAGAUUGUAUCAGUAAUUCAGGCAACAUUCGAAACUCAGGCGCCACUGCUUCAGGAAGGUACCAUCAAGCUCCAAGGACUCUUAUCCUCUUUCUCCUUCCCCACUACCUAGUCAUUACAGCGUCAGCAUCCACUUCUUGAAAGGAAGAUGCCUGUUUUUCACAUACCCCAGAAAGCCCCAUUUUAGGACACCAUUUAGCAGAGUAUAUUCAGGACCCCACUAACCUUUUCGGAAGACAUGACUUCCAGACGAUGUAAGGCAAUAAUAAGAAAUUUCAGUGACAGGGAAUAUAAAUCAUAUUUCUGCAUUCAGGAUCAUGUUUUCUUGAUACAGGGAUUUCUUCUUCAAGUAAUCCAAAGACAACUUUACCUUCAAACCUUUCAGAAAACCUGUUCUAAUUUAGUUCUCUUUAUUCUACAGGCUCCAUCGGGAACUGUUCAGGACCGUGCACUCUGCUGAUACUCACAUGGUGGAAUUAUAUUGCCCUUGGCCAACCCUAAAGCCAUCAAGAUAGCAGGUCUGGUCUACAGAGAAGAGAGAUCAGGGAGCUCUUCAGUUGUGCCCAGCCUCCCCUCACAAAUCUACCUAACAAAGUCCUGAUAAACAGUAUGUUUUCUGGAGUCUAUCAAUAUGGAUUAAGUCUUGUUCUCUUGGCCAGGCUGGAGUGCAGUGAUACAAUCGUCACUCACUGCAGCUUCAAACACCUGGGUUCCAGCAUUCAUCCUACUUCAGCCUCGCGUGUAGCCGGGACUACAGAUAUGAAAUAAUUUCCUAGUGAAGUCAUCCUAACAUGGAACCGGAAUUAAAUCCUAACAACAAUCAUGUGAGCCUGGGGAGGAUCCUUCCGUAGCCGAGCCUUCAGGGGAGACUUCAGCCUUGGCCAUCUUCUACAUCUAGAUUCCUGACCAAGAGAAACUGGAUUUGUUCUUCAACUGAUUAUCAGAUCACUGUGAUAAUUUCUAUUUCUCUCGUCAUGAAUUAUUUGGGACCAUGUAUUCUGUUGCUUUUCACAUCUUGGAAUUAUAUUGUCCAUUUCCAAGGCCAAAGACCACAGAAUAAAUGUCAUCAUGGCAGCAGGUGGAGUUCGCUGUUUCACCCAGGCUGGAGUAAAGUGGCGCAAUCUCGGCUCACUGCAACCUCCGCCCCCGGGGUUCAAGCGAUUCUCCUGCCUCAGCCACCAUGAUUUAACACUGAGAAGUAGGCAGUCACACAGAAAAAGUUUGGAAUAGUUCACCAGUGAAUUCAUCUCAACCAGCACAGUGCCUUGACUCCUAACAAGAAUCACAUGAACUUGGAAGAGGAUCCUUCCCCAGCUGAACCUUCACUUGAGACCUCGUCCUUGGCCAUCAUCUACAUCUGGAUUCAUGAUACAGAGAAACUGUGAGUAAGAGCCACUUAGUGUGUGAGAAUUUAUUAUUCAACAAUAAAUAAUACACUUGACAGUAAAUGCAAUAUGGUAUCCUGGACAGAAAAAUCACAUUACUUAAAAGCCUAGUAAAAUAUGGAAAAAACUUAUACUUCAAUAAAUAGUUUUGUGACAACUAUUUUUUAGGGCUCAUGGUUACAUAAUCUAUUACAUUGCAUGUAAUCCAAAGAUAUC